AUUGAACGCUGGCGGCAGGCCUAACACAUGCAAGUCGAACGAGUGGCGGACGGGUGAGUAAUGUCUGGGAAACUGCCCGAUGGCGGGGGAUAACUACUGGAAACGGUAGCUAAUACCGCAUACCAUCGAAUGUGCCCAGGUGGGAGUAGCUAGUAGGGGGGGGAACGGCUCACAAAGGCGACGAUCCCCAGCGGGUCUGAGAGGAUGACCAGCCACACUGGAACUGAGACACGGUCCAGACUCCUACGGGAGGCAGCAGUGGGGAAUAUUGCACAAUGGGCGAAAGCCUGAUGCAGCCAUGCCGCGUGUGUGAAGAAGGCCUUCGGGUUGUAAAGUACUUUCAGCGGGGAGGCGUUACCCGCAGAAGAAGCCCCGGCUAACUCCGUGCCAGCCGCCGCGGUAAUUC
rnacentral:rRNA from 1 species